GAGGACUACAACUAAUCUUGGAAAGGAUUGGCUGUCUGAUUCACCACCUCUGCUGGAAGAUGUGUGUGUUAUAGAAGUGGAUAUCAUUCUGUGAAGAUGGCGUCCACAUCCUGCCUCAGACGACUAAGGCCGUGAUCAAGGUCCCGUAUUAGGACUGAAACGUUGGCCAGUCUAUGCAUAUAUCAUUCCUGGAUGCUGACUAAAAUAAAAUGAUAAAUGAUGAAAUGAAAAAUGAAAUGAAAAAAUAAAUCUCCAAAACUACUAAAACGAGUGCCGUGGUUUCCUUUUACUACAUUACCUCAAGUACCAUUGAGCACCGUACCAAACGACACCAGAGGAGUGCCGUCCAACCCAAGCUAUAUCAAGAUUGUAUGAAUUUUGUGACUGAGCACCCUCCAAAUGUCUUCAACUACCUUCUCGUACGAUAACGCAAUCGCAGAGGAGAUCGUUUCCCGGGGGAACGCAUCAAGCAAUUUCCUACACGUUUCACACAGUGAAUUAAAAUCACGUGAUUGAGAACGCGAAUCCAAGAAGCUACUCUCCACUGAGUUACACUGCACAACAUUGGCAGAGUACCACAGGCAAAAGAAAAUCCCAAGGGGCCUACGAGUUCAUCUCCGCCCAACUCUCUUUCCUUCAAACACUGAAUACUGCGCUAAAUUUGAAUCCAUCAUCAACAAAUGUUCUUUGGACAUUAUUGUUCUAAGAAUAGAAUUCCUACAACAAUCAAUUAAAGAAUCACAAGAAAAAUUAACGGCUAUCGAAACUCAACUGGUUUCUACAAUCUCAUCUGACGAGUGGUCCGAGCUCAAGUAGAAGACCGACAAUAUUUUAGAAGAACACCGGAAAUUCCUAGAAAAUACCAAGCGAAAUAAAUUUAUCCGUGACUCUGAAGACUACCAUUUACAGAAGAUCUAUCACUGGCAAUGGCAAAGUACCUCCAAGGGCUCUGAUUACUCCUUCUUCCUAGGAUACGCAUUCUCCUCUUCAGGAAGCGACAGACCAACCAACUACCGCAAUCAACGUUUUUUUCACAGACGUGGAUACCGACCCGGUAGAAGAAGACCCGCCGCAUACGCCGAGGACGAGGUUCCCACCGACCGAAAUCAGACGGGCAUCCAGACUCGCUCCCAGACAAAAUGACUCAUAAAGUCCGUCCCAACCAGUUUCGGUCCCGGCCGGCCUACUGCGCAUGCGCGCGGGCGCCGCUGCCGCAGUGACGUCACUCGCCUCAGCGCGUUGAUGUCAUGCGCACGACGGGCCUGGGCGCCUUGAUGCAGGACGCUCGCCCGUACCGGCGGCAUCUUUAAAAGGAGAGGCAAGCGCUGCGGAAGCCAGCGCAUCCCACAGGCAACAUGCAGGAGACGACUAAGGUAAACGUGAGACCUCUGUACCUAACUACCUGAAUACCGCCGUUCUGCCUGUACCUUUGGUGACCUAGGUGUGGAUUUUUAUACAACUGGCACUCCAACACAGAUUCCCAUAGAUGAUUGGGCUAUGACUCUGCUGAUCCAUGUAUACUUUAUAUUUGCCUUUGUGUGUAUAUACUUGUCCUCACUAUCACCUGCCACCCAGUUACCUGUAAACGCUAUAACCUAUGCCACAUACACCUUACAGGCCACGCUACCCUUGAGACGUCCUGUUGACCUGCACCACUCUGCAUUUGUUUGCUAGCUCCGGACCUUGCCAAGUUUAUCGAUAUCCCGGCUGCUGCUGAUUUUUCUACUGUUACUUACUGAUGCAUAUAGAUAUAGUAUAGUAUAGUAUAUAAGUGUAACUCCACCAUUGACGAUGCCACUAUGUGUGGAAAUUUCUUUGCCUCACAACGUCUUACCUAUCCUCUGUGUCCCCGUAUACUAGACGCUGGACAUAAUUUUGAUGUAAAUAUUAUGAAUUGAUUAUGAAUUUGUUUAUCAUGUAAAAAUACCCUGAUGUAUUGUACUGUAUUUACCUUACUCCAGGCCGUGAUCAAGGUCCCGUAUUAGGACUGAAACGUUGGCCAGUCUAUGCAUAUAUCAUUCCUGGAUGCUGACUAAAAUGAAAUGAUAAAUGAUGAAAUGAAAA